UCUGGUACUCGCUCCCUGGCUCUCAGUUUUUACCUUCAAUAUCCUUAUUUUACGAAAGGUUAUUGAAUCUAACAGGAAAACAAAACUUGCGAAAGAUAAGACAAGGAGAGCUGAAGCCCAGUUGACACGUCUUUUAUUAUCGGUGACCUUCACCUUCCUAUUUCUAAUCAUAUUCCAGUGUCUUACUCAAUGUGUCUGGAUGCUGAAACCAGAAAGUGUAAACUACCGCAUGGUGGACGAAGCUUUCUCAAUCGCUAAACUGGGAAUCGUCAUUAAUUCCUCCAUCAACUUCUUCUUGUAUUGUUUAAGCGGGCGGAAAUGUGUGUGUUUAAGCGGGCGGAAAUUCAGAAAAGAGCUGAUGAUUCUCUGCUUUCCGAAGAAAACUCACCUUAAUCUUACUAGAAGCAGCUCCUCACACAGCACAAGUGGGACCGGGUCAACUACACUUUAACAUUUCUGUUACGUAAACUUUACAGAAAAAAAUGACCGCAUAAUUUUAUACGCCAAAUGAGCAACUGCUUAUCAUUCUUCUCGGGCGAAUUUGUUGAAUUUAUUUGAGAUAAAAUUUAUUUUAUUUUGUACUGAAAGGGAAUUCUAAGCAUGUUAUAUUUACUUUGAGUCUUAUUUCUUCUCAGUUCUUCACAGUUAACCGCUGAUAAUUCCAGCGAUUGAGAUUAAACCAUUUUUGAUAACGGAUUAUUUCGUGGAUCUGCAGAAUGGGAGUCAUUUUGUUUUUUAUACGUGUGAAUUCUAGUGCAAGGAUUUUUUAUUUAACUGAUUUACUUGCGUUUUAUAUUUUGUUAUCAAAUGUUCAGAGAUGCAGUAUGUAGGCACAAAUAAUUGAGUGUUUAUUGUUUAAUGCCCAGUCAGAAAUAUUUCAGCCUUGCUUUGGCAGGUACAUGUAGGCACGUUGCAGCACUUUUCAGCAAAACACGGCAACCCAUAAGAACUCGCCUUUAAGUCGUUUUCAGAUGUUAAAUCUUGGUCAAAAACUUUAUGUACGACUUACAUGUAUAGACGAGUCAAAAGAAACAGGUAUUUUCUGUAGAAUGACAAGAGGCAAUUAUUGAAGAAAAUUUUAAGAUUAUAUAAAAAGUACAAAUAUUUACUUAUUUUAAUAAAAAAAAUCUUAAGUGUG